rnacentral:rRNA from 1 species
UACGAGGGGGGCAAGCGUUGUUCGGAAUUAUUGGGCGUAAAGGGCGCGUAGGCGGUGCGGUAAGUCACCUGUGAAAACUCUGGGCUCAACUCAGAGCCUGCAGGCGAAACUGCCGUGCUUGAGUGUGGGAGAGGUGCGUGGAAUUCCCGGUGUAGCGGUGAAAUGCGCAGAUAUCGGGAAGAACACCUAUGGCGAAGGCAGCUCUCUGGGACGGUACUGACGCUGAGACGCGAAAGCGUGGGGAGCGAACAGG